CUGUGAGGGCCGGGCGGUGUCGGGGGAUCUGUUUGAAGAUCUGGGGAAAAUCUGGGUUCAUUCAAGCUGGAUCUGAGGAACAAAAGAAGAAGGCUCUGACUUACAGGAACUCUCUGGGUCAUGGGAACCUCCGGUGGAUUGGAGGCUGACAUAAUGAAAAGGGAGGCAGGAGAAAAGCAAGGAGGAUGCAAAACAUUCUCUUCAGUUUGCAGUUAGCUCUUGGGUGGAAGUUACAAACAAAACUGCAGAAGUCACAAGCUCGGCUCUGCUGCUGGUCUCUUCUUUUAACUGGUCUCUGA
rnacentral:lncRNA from 1 species